rnacentral:lncRNA from 1 species
UGAUGAUGGAAUCUUGGAGAUGAUUUUUACACGCUCCCUGAUUUCUAUCUCUAUCUCUCAGCUGGCUGAAAACUCAGUUUUCCAGAUAUCUGUGAGCUACUGGUAUGGCUUGAGUAUAGUUUGGCUUCAUCAGAACUCAUGCUGAAGCUGAAUUCUCCAAUUUAACAGCACUGAGGUAGAGAAGCCUUGGAGACAGAAAGGUCAAGCUCAUGUUGCGGAGGACCCUGGGAGGAACUAAGGACAACAGAGUUGGAUAGGUAAAUGGAAGCUCUCUGGCCCAGGCUGACUUGACAAGGCGAAUCCUCCGGUGAAAGACACAGCUACCAGAGCAAAUGAUGUGCUGAGAGAAGGAAGCAGGGAAAUAUCUGUGGUCCAAGAACUGUAUUUUCCAUUGUGACAGCUGGGAGAUGGAUUAAAGAUGAAAAAUUUAUCACAACAACCACUUGCAAGAAAUGAUGUGAGGUGGUACGUGUUACUUGACACAAUUUUCUAAGGAGGGGGUCUUUCUUUAUCUUUUUGCUUUCUUUCUCUUUUCAUUUUCUCUUUUUUUUGAGAGAAGGUCUCCAAACUGCUGGAGAAUACAGACCAUGUGCCACGACGCCAGGCCCUAAUUUCCUACGGAGGUUUCUCUAUGAUAUUAUAAACCUAAUUAUUUCUGAUUGAGAAGUAUCUUUAAAAAUUUAAAAAUAUUUGCUAGAUUCAGAGUUCAGGUCCACUUCAAAGAAAUAUGUCGG